GUGGAGAUAAAUUACUUGCAAUCGCUCUAUUAUAUGCUUUAAUGUUAUAAUUAAUAUUAGUAUUGUGUGUGCUCUCUCUGUAGGAAAUAUAGAAGCUUCAAUAUUUUAUGAUAUAUAAGAGAGAUAAUAAAGGAUGGCAAACAGACAAAUAUUCCAAUAUGUCUCAGGCAACUAAUAAUAAGAAAAUGUACCAAAGUAUAUAAACAAUAUUUUUGCAGAAAUUGAACAUUGGAUUAAACAGAAGUCUUUGGUUAAGGCUCAAUUUAUUGUACGAAGUUAUUGAACACUUUCAUGACCAAAAGUAAAAGAUGUUACUAUAGCAUAAUUAUGUAUUUCAUACAUAUAAAAUAGAAUUGUUAGCAAAUACGUAAGGUGUGCUGAAAACUUUUGAAUAAUGUACUAUAAAAAAUUUAUUUCGAUGUAUAUUGUGAGGAAAGAAUUUAUGUCUUUGACGUCAUAAUUUGACACGGUGGCUGUGAGGAAACAGAAGCCUUAAUAUGUGUUCAGAGCAUCGCAUGUAAUGACUAAUUAGAAUUGUCAUUAUAGAAUUUUUUCUAACGACAUUAUUAAUGAGACUUACAUGUAUGGAAGUUCUUAUAAAACAAAUUACAUUGAGUAGAAGGGCGAAAAGAUGCUUUUGUGAGCCGACAUCGGAUAUGUAAUUAUUUGUAUAUAUUUUCUUCAAAGAAAACAAACAUUUCAACUCGUGAUUGAGUCCUCUUCAAUAAAAUGAAGAUUCGUAAGUAAUGGAAUGCCUGUUACAAACAUUUUUGUUUAUUAGAAAAAUAGUUUACCAAUAUUAUAUUAAAAAAAAAAUUUUUUUUAACUUAAAUCGCUGAAAAAACUUUGGCUUUAAUGCACCAAUCUAAAAUAAAUGCAGUAUAGAUAAAUAAACGCGAAGAAUUUUGAAUUAUUAAAUAAAAGUGAAGAAUAAUAAUUCUUGUAUGCAGGUAAAUUAAUUACAUUUUUUUGUUUCUUUUUUAUAACUAAAUAACUAACACAUUAUUCAGUGUAUUUUUAUAUUUUUAUAAAUCACGUUCUAAAUAAUAAAUAUUUUAUAAUUUGGAGUCUAGAAAUUAUUAAACAACGUUUUGAAUAUAAUCAUUUAGUUUUAGUAUAAGAUAUUGGUUAUUAACAAAGUUAUUGAAUAAAAUAUAAAUAGCUAGGUAUCUAUAUUAUUAUCUUCUCCUCUUUCUGCGAUUCAUAAAAUUACUCAUAAAAUAUAACGAAGGUAAAAAUGGGAAAUAGCAAUAUGGAAUUUAUGUGAAUAAAUUUACAUUGAUUUUUAUCUUGUGCAAUCUAUGCUGUAUUAGUACUUACGCCCGUCGAUAGAUGGACAUAUCGGAGCUGUAUUUCUCAAAAUAAAAAUCCAUAUAAAAUAGAACAUUACACUAUUGUUAUUAUGCUAUUAAAAUAUAAACCGUAUGAAAGGUGCACAUUAUGAGAUUUUUUGUCCAUGUUUAAACGAAAAGAUUCCUUGAAAAUAAAUUCCAAAAAUUAGACUCUAAGAUAUUUUGUGUUUCAUAAGAAAUGUAAUAAAUGUAUUAUAUAUAGGUGGAAUAUAAUACAUAAAAAUUUCUUUAAAUUUCCGUGAAAAAUCCACGCGGAAUGAAAAAUAUGGUAUGAGGAAAAUCGAUUAGAAAUAUUAAUAAGAUUCCACGUGGAGUCUAUUUAUUGAGCGGACUGUCCACUCAAUAAUGGUAAUGCGAAUUCUUGAAUGUGAUAAAACAUUGAUUCCACAUAUUUGUUUUCUACUUUAGACGAAACUAAAAGACAGAUUAAAAGUUCUAUUUUUUUUUCUUAAAAAUGUAUUUAGAAAGUUUCUUUACGAUUCUUUUAAACGAGAUGCUUAAAUUUUC